rnacentral:rRNA from 1 species
UACGUAGGGGGCUAGCGUUGUCCGGAAUCAUUGGGCGUAAAGCGCGCGUAGGCGGCCCGGUAAGUCCGCUGUAAAAGUCAAAGGCUCAACCUUUGAAUGUCAGCGGAUACUGCCGGGCUAGAGUCCGGAAGAGGCGAGUGGAACUCCUGGUGUAGCGGUGGAAUGCGCAGAUAUCAGGAAGAACACCGACGGCGAAGGCAGCUCGCUGGGACGGUACUGACGCUGAGGCGCGAAAGCGUGGGGAGCGAACAGG